GACAGAGGGGGCAAGCGUUGCUCGGAAUCACUGGGCGUAAAGGGCGCGUAGGCGGGAUGGCAAGUCAGUCGUGAAAUCUCUCGGCUCAACCGAGAAACGUCGGCUGAUACUGCCGUUCUUGAGGGAUGCAGAGGAGACUGGAAUUCCCGGUGUAGCGGUGAAAUGUGUAGAGAUCCGGAGGAAGACCGGUGGCGAAGGCGGCCUGCUGGGCAGUUACUGACACUGAGGCGCGACAGCGUGGGGAGCAAACAGG
rnacentral:rRNA from 1 species